rnacentral:rRNA from 1 species
UACGGAAGGCAGCAGUGGGGAAUAUUGCACAAUGGGCGCAGGCCUGAUGCAGCCAUGCCGCGUGUAUGAAGAAGGCCUUCGGGUUGUAAAGUACUUUCAGUCGUGAGGAAGGUGUUAAGGUUAAUAACCUUAGCAAUUGACGUUAGCGACAGAAGAAGCACCGGCUAACUCCGUGCCAGCAGCCGCGGUAAUACGGAGGGUGCGAGCGUUAAUCGGAAUUACUGGGCGUAAAGGGCACGCAGGCGGUUAAUUAAGUUGGAUGUGAAAUCCCCGGGCUUAACCUGGGAAUGGCAUUCAAGACUGGUUAGCUAGAGUCUUGUAGAGGGGGUAGAAUUCCAUGUGUAGCGGUGAAAUGCGUAGAGAUGUGGAGGAAUACCGGUGGCGAAGGCGGCCCCUGGACAAAGACUGACGCUCAUGUGCGAAAGCGUGGGGAGCAAACAGGGAUUAGAUACC